GCUGGGCGCAGUGGUGUAUGCCUGUAAUCCAGUGACUCAGGAAGCUGAGUCAGGGGGAUUGCAAGCUCAUAGCCAGUCUCAGCAACUUAGCAAGGCUCUAAGUGAGUUAGUGAGACCCUGUCUCAA
rnacentral:sRNA from 1 species